rnacentral:rRNA from 1 species
UACGUAGGGGGCAAGCGUUGUCCGGAAUCAUUGGGCGUAAAGGGCGCGUAGGUGGUUCUGUAUGUCUACCGUGAAAGCAUACAGCUCAACUGUAUUUUGUCGGUAGAAACUGCAGGACUUGAGGCUGGGAGGGGCUGGUGGAAUUCCCUGUGUAGCGGUGAAAUGCGUAGAGAUGGGGGAGAACACUCGUGGCGAAGGCGGCCAGCUAGACCAGUUCUGACACUGAGGCGCGACAGCGUGGGGAGCAAACAGG